rnacentral:rRNA from 1 species
UACAGAGGGUGCGAGCGUUGUCCGGAAUCACUGGGCGUAAAGGGCGCGUAGGCGGCUUGAUAAGCGUGCGGUGAAAGCCCGGGGCCUCAACCCCGGGUCGGCCGUGCGAACCUGUCGAGCUGGAGCACUGUAGAGGCAGGUGGAAUUCCGGGUGUAGCGGUGGAAUGCGUAGAGAUCCGGAAGGAACACCGGUGGCGAAGGCGGCCUGCUGGGCAGUGGCUGACGCUGAGGCGCGACAGCGUG